GAUGAACGCUGGCGGCGUGCCUAAUACAUGCAAGUCGAGCGGACGGACGCGACGCUUGCUUCUCUGUUGUUAGCGGCGGGCGGGAGAGUAACACGUGGAUCACCUACCUAUAAGACUGGGAUAACUUCGGGAAACCGGAGCUAAUACCGGAUAAUAUUUUGAACCGCGUGGUUCAAUAGUGAAAGACGGUCUUGCGGUCACUUAUAGAUGGAUCCGCGCUGCAUUAGCUAGUUGGUACGGUAAAGGCUUACCAAGGCAACGAUGCAUGGCCGACGUGAGAGGGUGAUCGGCGACAUUGGAACUGGAACAGCGUCCAGACUCCUACGGGAGGCCGCAGUAGGGAAUGGUCCGCAGUGGUCGGAAGUAUUACGGAGCAACGCCGCGUGAGUGACGAAGGUCUUCGGAGCGUAAAACUCUGUUAUUAGGGAAGAACAGAUGUGUAAGUAACUGUGGACAUCUUGACGGUAAUUAAUCAGAAAGCCACGGCUAACUACGUG
rnacentral:rRNA from 1 species